rnacentral:rRNA from 1 species
UACGUAGGGUGCAAGCGUUAAUCGGAAUUACUGGGCGUAAAGCGUGCGCAGGCGGCUUUGCAAGGCAGAUGUGAAAUCCCCGGGCUUAACCUGGGAACUGCAUUUGUGACUGCAUGGCUGGAGUGCGGCAGAGGGGGAUGGAAUUCCGCGUGUAGCAGUGAAAUGCGUAGAUAUGCGGAGGAACACCGAUGGCGAAGGCAAUCCCCUGGGCCUGCACUGACGCUCAUGCACGAAAGCGUGGGGAGCAAACAGG